CAGAAACAAGAAAUGGAAGUGGACCCGCUGGAAAUUACAGAUUCAGAUUUUACACAGGUGAAAUCAAUGAAAGUACAAUUCUUGCCCAAGUUAAAAAUUCAAAGCUUGUUCCAAUGAGUGGCCGUGAGCUGUUGUUGAUAUUGAUUAUAACUGAAUAAUAAAAAUGAUCUUUCAUACAAUUAUAUCGGCGUCCCUCUCUAGGGAUACCAGUGUGACAAGGACGACGAUGGAUUGCAGGUUGGACGAUUCAUUAUGUGAAAUUGAGUAUGAGUGCAGUGCGUACUUAAAAUUUUAUUAAUUCACUUCACUGCACUUUGUAUAGAAUUUAUCAAUUUGUACAGCUUAUUAUUUUGGUAAUGUAGGUAAGCCUAACUUUUAUAUAUCGUGAGAUCAGUUUGAUUAUGAGGUGAAGACGGGUUUGUGCAGAAAAUGUACAGGGAAGUUUCCAGUGAGGUAAAUACUAAAAUAGCGCCCGAAAUAAAAGUAAUUCUACUUGUUAUUUGGACAAAAUAAUUUCUCUUCUUCAAAUAUGGCGAUAAUCGAAAUACAUGAAAUCGAAAAUCCGUGAAAACGACGGAAAAUUAUGAAAACUUCGUUAAAAAAUAUACCAUAAAUCUUCUUCAUUUUGUCUAGUAAGUAGGCAAAAGUCGAGGCAGGCCGAAGAAAUCAUUGCUAAAGUUGGAAAGUGGACCCUGGGUCCCGAAGGUUUACAGUGGAGGGUGCAACUAACACAAAGAUGAGAGAAGUGAAAUGUAACCCUGGAAACGUCCCUAUUUAAAAUGAUCUCCAAAUUAUGAAUAACUCGACUCGAAUUAUGAAUGCUCGUUUAGAUUCGCAUUUAUUUUGAAAAUUUUAUUAUUAUCAUGGUACUUCCGCAAAUACAAGGCACCCCAGUGCGUUAUGGCGACUGUACAUUUUGGGCGAGAUGAACUAGACGAUGCUAAAUGUUUUAUCAGUAUUGAUGUGCAAAAAAAAAAUAAUAUUCGUUACAUUAGAAUAUGUUAAUAGUCCCUGUCUUCAGGGAUGAAGUAAUUCGAGUUAGGGGAUAACAAAGCAUUGGCAUUAAGUAAAAGGUUUUUACAAUAUCUGAACGUAAAAGGUGACUCCUAGGUGCCUCGCCCAAAUAAGUACAGUGGCCUUUAGAGUUAAUAGUUAUAUAGCGUCAUAAGUGAUAAAAUAAGUGCAAUUGUUUUAAGGUUGAUGUUUUGCCGUGUGGUGGGAAAUUGUUAUAGAAUUUAUUUAUCCAUAUAUGUUCUUGGAGUUGCCUAGCAUCAAAAUAGUUGGACUGCCAUAGCCCUCACCAAGUAGCUCGCUAUCUUCUGGCGUAUGGCGGCUUUUAGUGUGGCGUUUUAUCUGAAACGCACUGGAAUGUAUAAUCAUUCUUGAAAAUUAACCUUAAAUGGAAUGUUAGAAUGUAUCGCUGACCUGCUCACACACAUGCGUAUCAUUUUCGCACAUGAAUGACGGUUCUGCAGUACAUUAAUAUGACAAUAGAAUAUGUGAAGAGUCACUUCUAGCCACACAGUGAAGCUUCAAUCUUAAUAAUUAUCAAUUAAUAUUAGGGUUAGAAUACUUUAUCAAAUGAUAUAAAAACAUAUUUGUAAUGCGCUUACUUUGUUAGUGUUUGGCGUUGUAGCGGGUUCAAGAGGUGAAGAAAUACAAUACAUUUUGUAUAAAUUUAUCUAGUAUAUUGUGCAUAAUGAGAUUAUUCAAUAGAUCAGUACGACACGAUUUGAAUAUAUAAAGUUGCAUAGUUUUUUUUUAGUAAAUAAGAGUGAGGUCUGGUUCGAGCUUUGGUCCGAUCAAAACCGAAAAUUAACUACGCCAGAUAGACCUUGUUCUGUUUAAAAUUUUCUUUAAAAAUUUGCUUAACUAGGGAAUUUGUGAUUCGACAAACUGUAGAUUGUUUGACAUAAAUUAUGUCGAAAGUACAAUCGUGUUAUUCUGAAUCUAUUAUAAAAGAUGAAAUAAAAUACUGCAGUUUAUUUCAUCAAUAUAUUAUUAGAUUAAAUUGAAGCGGGCAAAAUUAUAUGAUGAUAUAUGAUACAUUUUAAAGUAUUAUAAAGUGGUGAUUAUGAAAAGUAUAAAUUAUUAAUGGCAUUUUAGA
rnacentral:lncRNA from 1 species